AUUGAACGCUGGCGGCAGGCCUAACACAUGCAAGUCGAGCGGAUGAAGGGAGCUUGCUCCUGGAUUCAGCGGCGGACGGGUGAGUAAUGCCUAGGAAUCUGCCUGGUAGUGGGGGAUAACGUCCGGAAACGGGCGCUAAUACCGCAUACGUCCUGAGGGAGAAAGUGGGGGAUCUUCGGACCUCACGCUAUCAGAUGAGCCUAGGUCGGAUUAGCUAGUUGGUGGGGUAAAGGCCUACCAAGGCGACGAUCCGUAACUGGUCUGAGAGGAUGAUCAGUCACACUGGAACUGAGACACGGUCCAGACUCCUACGGGAGGCAGCAGUGGGGAAUAUUGGACAAUGGGCGCAAGCCUGAUCCAGCAAUGCCGCGUGUGUGAAGAAGGUCUUCGGAUUGUAAAGCACUUUAAGUUGGGAGGAAGGGCAGUAAGUUAAUACCUUGCUGUUUUGACGGUACCAAAAGAAUAAGCACCGGCUAACUUCGUG
rnacentral:rRNA from 1 species